UCUUUUUCAUUAAAGAAAGUAAAAAUGGGAUUUUAUUUUUUUGCCUUUACAUGCCCUUUAAUGUUUUAAUGCUGUAUCCAGACUAGCACUUGUGUCCGUAAAUGAAGCUUCAUGUGUUCCAUUAGCCUAAAGCUUUUACAGAUGUUUCCACAGAACAGCAAGAUAAAAUAAACUGUACUCCAAGAAACGGUAUCAAAGACAGAAUAGAAAAAUGUAUCAGUAUUGCUAAAAAGGUAUAUUCCAUCACAAAUAUGAUGAUGUGGAUUUUAAUAGCCUGAAGGAGGUAGUACAUUCAUGGAAAAGGUACCUGUGAAAAAGCAGUUUUUGAUGACAGUGGAGCUUAUACUGACAUGGGUGCUAAAUCAGCCUCAUGCAAUUAGUUGGGAUAAGUCUAUUAGAAAAUGAAAGAGAAAAUCUUAUUGGAUGCUAUGGUUCAUUGCACUGGUGCAACUAUAACUAUAAGAUCUGCUCUUUUUGGUGAGGUUGCCAAACAAGUGUAUCUUUCCCCAGAUAUGUCCACCAAAGGUGGUCAAUACCAGACUGAUCCGAUCAUUUGACCCUACAGCCAAACAAUCAGAUUAUAAUGAUGGGCAUACCAGUCGAAGGGGACAAGGAUCAACUAGCCAAUGCGGUCCUCAAUCGGGCAGGAGAAUCAAACCUGCCUACUGGAGAUCUAGCAGAUAUCAGUCUCUGAGACCUGUCAGAGGGCCCCAUACACUGGCAGAUAAAUUGCCGAAUCGGUCUAAAGCACUCAAAUUGGGAGCUUAAAUCUGCCUGUGCAUGGCCUUUCAGCUUCUAAUUUCUUUUUGAAGGAGAACUAAAGCCUAAAAAUUUAUAUUGGUAGAAAUGCUUUAUUUUAUGUACUGAAUGGCUGUAUCAUCCCAGAGGUUCAGCAGUCCCAUAGCAGUGAAGAUCCAGACCUUCAAAUAUAUCCGCAGAAGCUCCCCAUCUUGGGGACCAUCUUUCAAGUGUACAAUAUUAUUGGUGCAACUCACUGGUGGAACCCUGCAACUACCAUCUCAUUCAAGCAGUAAUUUUCGGGUUGCACUUGCAUGGAAUUCAUCAGAACAGGCUGCUCUUAUGAACACAAGAACUUUUACAAAUGGUUUAAAUGUACGCUAAGUUUUGUGUCUAUUUGUGCACUAUGUGCUAUUUUAAAUAAAGCUUAAUGUGUAGCAUUUCUAGAGUUCUUCUAUGCUGAGCUGUAGUUCUCCUUUAAGAAUCAAUCUGGCAGGAGUAUAUAGUAGAAUUAAGCAUAAUGCCCAUGAAAGCGCUAAGCAAUCACACUAACUGCUAUACCCAGCACAUUGUAACCUCUCAUGUGUUUGCUGGCAAUAUACCUACAAGUUGGAUAGUCACUGGCUCAAUAGGCAUUAAAUUGCAAUAGGCAAUUACCAGUAUGAUAUCAAUUAUCUGGAAUGCUUGUGACUUUGGGUUUCUGGAUAAGGGGUCUUUUUGUAAUUUGGAUCACUGGUCCUUAAGGUCACUAUACCACAAAACAAACCCAAUAGGGUUAUUUGGUCAUCAAUAUGGAUUCAUGGAGAGUAGUUACCAUUGAGCACGAUAUACUGGCUUAUUAUAACAGGGAAAAGGAAAAUUUGAAAAAAAUAAAUUGUCUGCCUAUAUUGGAUUAUACGGAGCAUUCUGGAGACUGGCUUGCUAGAUAAUAUACUAUGAUGUUGUCCAUGACAGCAGAAGUGAAAUACAAAUCUGAGCUGUUUGCACUAUUCUUACCUGAAAUAAGAACACAUAUAUUGCAAAAGUGCAAAACAAAUCCUAACUGCUGUGUAUUUUGGAGUUCCAAUUAGACUUACUCAAGGCUGCUUACACUUUUGUUAUAACACGGGGAUGUAUAGUUACAGAACAGCAAACACACUGCAUUCAUAAGAAGGCCUUCAGCUUUAAAGAUAUCAUUUAUUUUCUUUAUAGUGCCAGUGCCCAUGCUCGGUACUGGAAAAUAAGCAUAUUGCUUUGAUCGUGUAUUUAUCAAUGUAUUAUAUUGUGGUUCAAUAUUUUUAUUUCUGCAAAUUAAAUAGUAUUAAAGAAAGAUAUAUGAAUGCUUGAAAGUUAUAAUUUAAUAUUUGGUUUGGAUAUACAGUAAAAAGGGCAGAGAGUAGAAUAAUACUGUACUGAAAAAUAAGAAGUUCCACUUACAGUAUAUAUGAACAGUAAUGGGCGAUUGAGCCAGUUAUGGAAACUGCUUUAGCAAAUCAUUUGGUAGUUCCCAUAUGUUUUCAGAGGAAGCAAAGGAUUUUUUCUGUGCUCGCAAUAAGCCAUAUGCUCAUAUUAUACAGUUUAAAGAAAACAAAUCCUUCCUAUAAAUAUAUUAAACAUUUUGGAUAAUGUUGACUAGAUAAAACUGAAGUGAACAACUAUUACAUAUUGACUAGUAUUAUAUCAAUUAUAAGAUAUCAGGUAUACAUACUUUACAAAAAAAAUAUAGCCUGUAGCUCAAAAUCCUUAAAAAUCCGGUUUUAUUCAAUUCACAUAAUAAAAUUUUUACAUACUGACCCCUUUAACAAUCCACCUCAUGCGUUUCGUACCCACCGGUACUUAAUCAUAGGUGACUAAAUUCCCUUCCAGUAAAUGCUCAUAAUGCCAAUAAGAAAAAAGCACUGUUAGCGUUAGCCAAGGUCAGCCUGUCAUUACUACUCACUACUUUCCAUUCACUGGUAGUACAAGUGGUGUCAGAAGGAGAGGGGUGCUUUGUCUAACACUGUUCUCUGCAGAAGGGCAUCAGUAGCCCAAACACCCCAUGUCCCCUAGGUCCUUGUGAGCUCAUUUACAAAUAAAGGUGCAGUGCAAAGUGUUGCACAAAAGAGUUCAAUCCACUUGCAGCAAUACAUGCUCCUUUGCAAUUAAGCCUUGCACCUAAAUAAAGUCAAAUAUACAGUGAGCCCAGGCAGCCUUGAAUUUCUUCCUGCCUUUAAAAAUAUAUCACUUCCAUGGCACUCUUGAGUGUUGCACCUAAACAUGCAACUGGUUUACACCUUUAACUGCAUGCUAAUGUUGCUUCUGCCACUGCAAGCAUACCUGCACUGGAAAUGAUGCAAUUUGCACCUACACUGACACAAUGGAAUUACAAAAAUACUCGCAUGUGAUUAAACUAGAUACCACAAUUACACUGUCAUUCUGGGAAACAAUGCUGCACCGAGCGUAAAAAAAAAACAUGGCAAACUGAGUGCAAAUUUUGCACCUUUCUCUUUGUAAAUGAGCCCUUAAAGCUGCAAGCUGAGCCAUUAUCACCUUCCUAGAAACUGCCACGGGAGUUUAAAUUCUGUUCAGAAAAUUUCAGAAAAUUAAAAAAUAAAGUUGUAGUGUCUAAAUACACACAGGGACACAUCAUGGGGAAAAAAUCAUAAUGUAGCGGCCCACUUCCUGCCCAGACUUCACCCACUCCCCGCCAAGACUCUGCCCACUCUCCGCCCAGACUCUGCCCACUCUCCGCCCAGACUCUGCCCACUCCCCGCCAAGACUCUGCCCACUCUCCGCCCAGACUCUGCACACUCUCCGCUCAGACUCUGCCCACUUUCCGCCCUGUGCAGACAAGCACUGCUUCCCUGCCGCAGAUAAGAGAGCAGCUGGGGAAGUGAGGUUUCUUGUUAGCUCCCCUUUUCCCAGGGUCCUUCUGUAUGUUCUUGUCAGUAUUCAGUUGCCAUCACCCUGUUAUUCCAUGCCCCUUUCCACAUUUCCCUGGGAGAGGCCUGUGUAUCUGUGCUAGCAUGAUGUGUGUGGACACGUCUCUUUCUGUUCGGGUCGAUGUUAAUAUUAUAUGAGGUGUCGUUGUAUGUUUUCCAUAUGCUGCAAAGUGAUAGAUUGCCAAACUCUUCAACCCAGCGUGUUUUUUUUUAUAUAUAAUAAAAAUAAAAGCUUCUCCAGGAAACUCUGUCUGUACAGUUGUGAAAGGGAAUGCUCAGUGUCAUACAAACAUAUGUACAAUAAAGAGUUAUCACAAGUGUGUAGAUGUUUCUCUGACAAAUAUCCAUUAUUAUUGUAAGAAACUGAAAGAAUGUAAUGAAGAGCAAAGUAAGACAAAUGUUAUUUUUUUCCUCUGCUGUGUAUAAAUAAAGAAUGCUUCUCUAUAAGGAA